GACGAACGCUGGCGGCGCGCUUAACACAUGCAAGUCGAGCGAGAACCGGGGCUUCGGCCCCGGGGACAGCGGCGAACGGGUGAGUAACACGUGAGUAACCUGCCCUCGGCACCGGAAUAGCCCGGGGAAACCCGGAUUAAUGCCGGAUGGCCCCUCUGCCCUGCGGGGCGGCGGGAAAAGGUAGCUUCGGCCUCCGGCCGAGGAUGGGCUCGCGGCGGAUUAGCUUGUUGGCGGGGUAACGGCCCACCAAGGCGACGAUCCGUAGCUGGUCUGAGAGGACGAUCAGCCACACUGGGACUGAGACACGGCCCAGACUCCUACGGGAGGCAGCAGUGGGGAAUCUGGCGCAAUGGGCGAAAGCCUGACGCAGCGACGCCGCGUGCGGGAAGAAGGCCUUCGGGUUGUAAACCGCUUUCAGGAGGGACGAAGCCACUCGGGUUAAUAGCCCAGAGGGUGACGGUACCUCCAGAAGAAGCCCCGGCUAACUACGUGCCAGCCGCCGCAGUAACAC
rnacentral:rRNA from 1 species